rfam:Schistosoma mansoni strain Puerto Rico chromosome 1, complete genome
AUCCAGCUGACGAGUCCCAAAUAGGACGAAACGCGCGUCUCGGAU